ACUCAAAUGAAUAGACGGGGGCUCACACAAGCGGUGGAGCAUGUUGCUUAAUUCGAGGCAACGCGAAGAACCUUACCUGGGCUUGACAUGUACGGAUCAACUCCGUGAAAGCGGAGCCACAGUCGCAAGACCGGAACGUGCACAGGUGCUGCAUGGCUGUCGUCAGCUCGUGCUGUGAAGUGUCGGGUUAAGUCCCUUAACGAGCGCAACCCCUGUCGUUAGUUGCUCACGCGUCAUGGCGAGUACUCUAGCGAGACUGCCGGUGUCAAACCGGAGGAAGGUGGGGAUGACGUCAAGUCCUCAUGGCCCUUACGCCCAGGGUUGCAAACGUGCUACAAUGGCGCGCACAAAGCGAUGCGAGAUCGCGAGAUGGAGCAAAUCGCAAAAAACGCGCCCCAGUUCGGAUUGCAGGCUGCAACUCGCCUGCAUGAAGUCGGAAUCGCUAGUAAUCGGAGAUCAGCUACGCUCCGGUGAAUGUGUUCCUGAGCCUUGCACACACCGCCCGU
rnacentral:rRNA from 1 species